rnacentral:rRNA from 1 species
GACGAACGCUGGCGGCGUGCUUAACACAUGCAAGUCGAACGGAAAGGCCCUGCUUUUGUGGGGUGCUCGAGUGGCGAACGGGUGAGUAACACGUGAGUAACCUGCCCUUGACUUUGGGAUAACUUCAGGAAACUGGGGCUAAUACCGGAUAGGAGCUCCUGCUGCAUGGUGGGGGUUGGAAAGUUUCGGCGGUUGGGGAUGGAAUCGCGGCUUAUCAGCUUGUUGGUGGGGUAGUGGCUUACCAAGGCUUUGACGGGUAGCCGGCCUGAGAGGGUGACCGGCCACAUUGGGACUGAGAUACGGCCCAGACUCCGACGGGAGGCAGCAGUGGGGAAUAUUGCACAAUGGGCGGAAGCCUGAUGCAGCAACGCCGCGUGCGGGAUGACGGCCUUCGGGUUGUAAACCGCUUUCGCCUGUGACGAAGCGUGAGUGACGGUAAUGGGUAAAGAAGCACGGGCUAACUACGUG